UGGAGCAGCGCUGUGUUGGACAAACCGCAUACUUGUCCUGUGUUCUUAAAUCAUCUGGGGCAGAACCGUUGAUCCCUCGACGCUGAGAAUACACCGUGUACCCACGGCUGCGCCAUGCACGUCCCGGGUGGACGGGCGCCUCCCCAAGGCCGGGGAAGGGGCAGCCUUUGGAAAAGAACUCCUACGAAGAGAGGAGGAAAGAAGGGGUAUUGAUGGGCGCGCGCUCUGAGUGUGUGUGUGCGGGGGAGGUUUUUAAGUGUCGAUGGGAUACAUGAUCAGAGGUAUACGGAAGAAAAAUGGUGCCUGGAAUUACUAAAAUAAUUCAGCAAAGCGCUGCCACGUAUACUUGGAGAGCGCGUUAUGAAUAAACACCCAUUGCAUUUGUUGGGGGUGUUAUGCAUUCUGGGUGUGCGCAGCUUUCUCGACUGGGCACCUUCCACCCACAAUGAAUCCCCCGAUUGCUGCCAAAGUCUCAGAGGACCCCCCACUCCUGGCCCUGCCCGCGCAGACCUACACGUAUCUCCGCGGGGGCCAGCGUUCCUCUCCACCCCCCUCCUCCCCGCCGUACGCGCUAAUCCCUGAGAUCUUUCUGCGGGUUCCGAAGCUGGAGUAAGGGAGGAGCGCGCCUGCGGGUGCGCGCCGCGGGGGACCACCUCCGUCCGUCUACACCCCCAUCACACCCCCGCGCCUCUCUCUCGGAGUUCCCAAUUCCGCAGCCAGGUUUCAGAAAAGAGACGAAUCCUCUUUGCGUCCCGUGGCGCCGGUUUGCACCACUCUUGGGCUCCCAGGUUUGGGGAAAAAUCAAAGGCGCUAGACGGGAGGAUACAGCUCGGGGGAGGGGGCGCGAGCCGCGGGACCAGACUCCCCAGAAGAGGGAAGGGGGCGAGCCGGCGGAUCCUGCCUGAGGAGUCGGCAGAGUCCCGGGCACAGGAUGGUGAGAUUCAGAAUGCGUGACUUGUAUAAGGGGAAGCCAGCUACCAUGCUGUCGGGACACUCAAGAUGCCCUAUGGUGAUGCCAUUACAGAAAAGACCUGGCCAGAAGUUAGCACCAACUUGCCAGCCGUGUGAGGACCUGGGAUUUGCUGGGGGUGUUCGGGGAACUGAAGUACUGUUAUUGUUCUUCCUCUCACAAGCUGUGUGACCUAAGGUCAUGCUCAUGCCUGCUCUGUGCCUCAAUGGCUUCCUCUGUGUGAGGCUGAGAAUACCUGACAACCGGAGAUAAAAGAUCACAGGGCUUUGAGGUGCUGUCAGUGCUUCACCUAUUUGAGGUUUCAUUAUUAUUUUGCCUUUUAUAUUUAGAAUCGUUUUCUGGAAGAGGGGAGAAAAAUGGCUUAUCUGACAUUAUAAACACAUUAAAAGUCAAAUUAAAAAAACAAGCCCUUGCUGAUGACUGUUAAGCCAGUUUCUGUUAAUUGAAUCAUAUUUCCCCAUUGAUUUGCAUAAAGAAUGAUGAUUGGUUUCCAUGGGGGCAGGGGGCUUGCAACAAUGUGAAAUCACACUCAGAAGUGUAGAAAAUCUUUAAGCAGUUAUUUUAAAUACCAAAAAAAAAAAAAAAGGCCAUAAAUAUGAAUGUAACAUGCCAGUGAACAUACUGGAUUCUUGGAAGAACGUUCCAUGUGUGCGGUGGGGCUGCAUGCUUUUGGAGGGAGUGGGGAGGGGUCCCCUUAGGUAAUUAGGAGAGCCUCCCAAUCCUGAAGGAAGUGAAAUCCUUCCACUCAUCAUGGGAAGAUUUUUCUCAGGGAGAGAAAUGUUGGAUUGGCCAGAAAUUUGUUCUUUUUUUUCCAUACCAUCUUACGGAAAGAUCCGAACGAACUUAUCGGCCAACCCAAGAGCUGUGAAUAAAUCAGGGUUUGGUUGGGAGAACAAGAGCUACUCUGUAGAUUCUAGGGAAAAGGGUUCUACUAAAAGGAAUUAGGGGCAAGUAAGACUGUUGGAACAGCUAGAGGAGGAAAACUACCAUGGCUGGUCUUAGCCUGAAGCAGCCAAAAGGUUCUCAUGAGCUCUCAUUCCCAAGUGUGUCUGGGAAGCGACAACCCGAAGCUCCUGGGCUCCAGCAGAAAAGCAGGUGUUCUCAGGAGCCCUCUGGGAAGCUGCUGUGAAUCUCACAGCCUGGCUGCUACUCCCUCCUCCGAAGCAAACAGUCCCUCCUCCCCUGUGCUUUCCAGGAUUGGGUCUCUCACUGGCCAGCUCUCCCCAGGAACCACACAAUGAAAGGCAAUCCAGGAAAUGAGCCCGGCUCUCUUUAUGCAGCCAGGAGGUGAGCUUUGCAGGGAGAGAAAUGAUGCUGAAUCUUUCAAGACAUCUCCACACAAGGAGAAAGCCAAGGCUCCCUGUGUUCCUAUUGCCCGUGUCAUCUCCAUGGAGCCACCAGCAAGGUUAGGAAGCAGGUCACAUUCGUAUUUUAACCUUUAAAAAAAAUGAUAAAAACAAAGCUCAGAAAAGUUAAAUAGCCAGCCCAGGGCUAUGCAACUGGUAUGUAGCCAUCAGGAUUCAAACCUAGAUCUACAUAAGGGGAAACCCCAUGCUCUUCUGGUAUUUUUUUACAGGUUGGCUGGUGGUUCAAACAUUUGCUGUAUCAGAGUCACCUGGAGGAAUCACCCCACCCCCAGAGUUUCUGAGUCAGAAGGUCUAGGGUGGGACCUGAGAUUUGAGUUUCUAUUAAGUUCCCAGUUGAUGCAGCUGCUGUUGAUCUUGUGACCACACUUGGAAAACUCCAGAGCAGGAAGGCAACCCUGUUGUUCUCCAUCUCAAUCUGCUGGUGCUCAGGUCAGGCAGAUCCCAUAAAAUACCACAUUGGCUUGAAUACUUUUCACUGCCCUUGCCUAUGGCUCCCAUCAAGUGGCCUAAUUGCUAUGCUUGGUUAUGUGGGUGUGUGUGUUAGCUGUACAGCCUUAGCCUGUAAAUCACACAGCUGAAUGAAAAUGAAUGGGCUCAUAUUUCUGAGUGCCACCUUAUUUGGAAGCCAAUGAGGAUCCCGGGUACUAUGCAUAUGUUCCUGAUUGAACCAGAAUACCAAAUGAAACUUUAAAGCUGAUUAUUUAUUAUUUCAUUGUGAGUUUUUUUUUUUUUUUUAAGAAAUCAGCAUUUGAUAAGUAAAUGGCCCAAAUCUUGCUCUGGCAUUCACAGAAGUCACAUUAGUCUUGAUGAAUUAUUUGCUUACUCAUUGAAUAUGUAAUUUAAUUCAAUAGAAAUUGCAUGGCAAUUUAGCACACAUUAAUGAACAGAUACUAUCUCACAGCUUAAUGAACCUGUCAUCCUUUUAAGGUAGGGAAAAUAUUUAAGGAAUUAACAAUCAACUAGGAAGAAGGCUGUUCAGAUAUUCAAUGGGUUUAACCAACUUUUAUGAACUCUUUCAGGUAGAGAUACACAGAUUUCAAACACCCAGUUCAAUACAAGUGGGUAGCUGCUAGCUGUCUUUGGAGAAAGUCAGGAAGACCCAAGUGUGGACCCAAGCAAUGCCUCUGACUAGCUAGAGGAUACUAGCUUGUCACCUAGUCUCUGGGGUCCUCACCUGUCAAAUGGGGUUUCUAAUUCUUAUCUUCCAGGAUCACUGUGAAGAUUAAAUGAGAUAAAAAAUGGAUGUAAAGGUUCUGAAAUGUUGAUUCUCAACACAUGACUAUUAUUAUUAUAAUGUUACUGCUUAUCUGAGCAGUGAUGUUCUCCUUCUUUUCUUUCUUUCUUUCCUUCCUUUGUUCCUCUUGUCCUCUCUCCCUUCUUUCCUCCAUUCAUGUAUUAAAUAAAUGUUUCUUUUUCUUUUGU